rnacentral:rRNA from 1 species
GAGUUUGAUCGUGGCUCAGGACGAACGCUGGCGGCGUGCUUAACACAUGCAAGUCGAACGAGAAUCUACUGAAAGAGUUUUCGGACAAUGGAAGUAGAGGAAAGUGGCGGACGGGUGAGUAACGCGUGAGGAACCUGCCUUGAAGAGGGGACAACAGGUUGGAAACGACUGCUAAUACCGCAUGAUGCAUAAGGGUCGCAUGAUUCUUAUGCCAAAGAUUUAUCGCUUCAAGAUGGCCUCGCGUCUGAUUAGCUAGUUGGCGGGGUAACGGCCCACCAAGGCGACGAUCAGUAGCCGGACUGAGAGGUUGAACGGCCACAUUGGGACUGAGAUACGGCCCAGACUCCUACGGGAGGCAGCAGUGGGGAAUAUUGGGCAAUGGGCGCAAGCCUGACCCAGCAACGCCGCGUGAAGGAGAAGGCUUUCGGUAUGUAAACUUCUAUCAGCAGGGAAGAAAAUGACGGUACCUGACUAAGAAGCCCGGCCAACUACGUGCCAGCCGCCGCAGU